rnacentral:rRNA from 1 species
CCAAGGGCGCGGGGGGGAUGCCUAGGCGUCAUCGGCAAGCGUGGACGUGGAAGGCUGCGAAAAGCUCGGGGGAGCCGCCAAACAGGUGUUGAUCCCGAGAUGUCCACCACAACCCGGGGAACUGAAACAUCUCAGUACCCGGAGGAAAAGAAAGCAACCGCGACUCCCUCAGUAGCGGCGAGCGAACGGGGAAGAGCCUAAACCGUCGGGGACACCCGGCGGGGUCGUGGGGCCGGCGUCAUGGGACCAUGGACCAUACCUGAAGCGCGCUGGAAAGCGCCGCCAGAGCGGGUGAUAGCCCCGUAAGCGUAUGGAAGGUGGCCCUAGCCGGUACCCGAGUAGGGUCGGGCACGUGAAACCUGGCCUGAAUCGGCGGGGACCCUCCCGCAAGGCUAAGUACCAGAUGACGACCGAUAGCGAACCCAGUAGGGCGACCGAACGGUGGGAAGAACCCCUAUCAGGGGAGGACACUGAACCUGAAACCCCGCGCUUACGAGCGGUGGGAGGGCUUAUAUCUAGGCCUGACCGCGUGCCUUUUGCAUAAUGAUCCGGCGAGUUAUGGUGGUCGGCCCGGUUAACCGCCUCAGGCGGGGAGCCCCAGGGAAACCGAGUCUGAACAGGGCGCACGUCGGCCGCCAUAGACGCGAAAGCAGGUGAACUACCCAUGGGCAGGUUGAAGCGACCCUAACCGGUCGUGGAGGACCGAACCCACCAGUGUUGAAAAACUGGGGGAGGACCCGUGGGGAGGAGUCAAAGUCUCAUCAAACCUGCAGAUAGCUCGUUCUCUCCGAAAUGGCUUUAGGGCCAGCCUCGGGCCACUCUCACGUGGGGGUAGAGCGACGGAAUUCGGUCGGGGGGCUUCCCGCCUACCCGCCGAAACCCAACUCCGAAUACCAUGUGAAUUACCCCGGGAGUCAGAGCGCGGGGGAGAAGCUUCGCGCUCGAGAGGGAAACAACCCAGACCGCCGACCAAGGCCCCCAAGACGACGCUCAGUGGCAAAGGAAGUGGGAUCGCGGUGACAGCCGGGAUGUUGGCUUAGAAGCAGCCACCAUUUCAAAAGUGCGUAACAGCUUACCGGUCGAGCCAUCCCGCGCCGAAAAUGACGGGGACUCAAGCGUCGCGCCGCAGUCGCGGAUUCGCAAGAAUGGUAGGAGAGCGUCGAACGUGCGGCGAAGCGGGACCGGCAAGGACCCGUGGAGCGCGUUCGAGUGCGUAUGCCGGAACGAGUAACGACAAGACGGGUGGGAAGCCCGUCCGCCGAAAGCACAAGGUUUCCUGGGGAAGGUCAAUCCGCCCAGGGUCAGUCGGGACCUAAGGCGAGGCCCAAGGGCGUAGCCGAUGGACAGGCGGUUAAUAUUCCGCCACCCGCGUGAGGAGGUUGAGUCGGGGGGGGACGCCGCGCCGCGUUGGAUCGGAGCGUUAGAUCUCCGUGCCGCAAGGCCGACAGCAUUUUGUCCUGGAAGUCCCCCGCGCGUCCGGCCACGAAAAACCCGGUCCGGACGACUUCGCGGCCCGUACCGCAAUCCGACACAGGUGUGCUAGGCGAGUAUCCGAAGGCGUUCGGGAGAACCCUCGUGAAGGAACUCGGCAAAAUGACCCCGUACCCUCGGUACAAGGGGUGCUCAGGGCAACCUGAGCCGCAGAGAAUCGGCUCUAGCGACUGUUUAUCAAAAACACAGGACUCUGCCAACUCGCAAGAGGACGUAUAGAGUCUGACGCCUGCUCGGUGUCGGUAGGUUAAGGGAGGCGGUGACCGCAAGGGUAGCUGCCGACCGAAGCCCCGAUAAACGGCGGCCGUAACUAUGACGGUCCUAAGGUAGCGAAGUUCCUUGUCGGGUAAGUUCCGACCUGCAUGAAUGGCGUAACGACUGGAGCGCUGUCUCCACGAGGGACCCGGUGAAACUGUAGCCGUGGUGAAGAUGCCACGUACCCGCGGUCAGACGGAAAGACCCCGUGAACCUUUACUGCAGGUUGGCACUGGGCGAGCGUUGUCUCUGUGUAGGAUAGCUGGGAGGCUGUGAAGCCCGGGCGCUAGCCCGGGUCGAGCCAACGGUGAAAUACCAGCCUGAGAUUGCGUUCGUCCUCACCGGUGUUCCAACACCGGGACCGUGCUCAUCGGGCAGUUUGACUGGGGCGGUCUCCUCCCAAACGGUAACGGAGGAGCGCCAUGGUGCCCUCGGCCCGGUCGGCAAUCGGGCAACACGAGCGCAAACGUAUAAGGGCGCCUGACUGCAAGGCCCAUCGGCCGCGCAGGGACGAAAGUCGGCGUUAGUGAUCCGGCGGUCCGGUAUGGAACGGCCGUCGCUCAACGGAUAAAAGGUACUCCGGGGAUAACAGGCUGAUCUCCCCCGAGCGUCCAUAGCGGCGGGGAGGUUUGGCACCUCGAUGUCGGCUCAUCGCAUCCUGGGGCUGGAGAAGGUCCCAAGGGUUUGGCUGUUCGCCAAUGAAAGCGGUACGCGAGCUGGGUUCAGACCGUCGUGAGACAGGUCGGUCCCUAUCUGCCGUGGGCGUGGGAAGCUUGAGGAGCGUCUCCCCUAGUACGAGAGGAUUGGGGAGGACCGACCUCUGGUGUGCCGGCUGUCCCGCUCGGGGCAUCGCCGGGUAGCCAGGUCGGGACCGGAUAAGCGCUGAAGGCAUCUAAGCGCGAAGCCCCCUCCAAGACAAGGCUUCCAGACGUAAGUCGAAGGCUCCUGGAAGACGACCAGGUCGAUGGGCCGGAAGUGUACGGCGAGCGAUCGCCGCAGCGGACCGGUCCCAACAGCCGAGCGGCUUGACC